AUGCGCAGCAUGGCUGGCCCGCUCUGAGGAGUUUUCAAUACUUUGGGGUCAAGUUUGAGGCAGUUGUAACUGUAUUGAGUUUAGUUUUGCUAAAAAUGGUAUUCUACGUGUGUCAGCCUCGUAUGGACUUCUGUAAUGACUAAUGGAUAUGUUUAUAUCCUGAGCAUUUGCUGUAGAAAUUUUAAAUGCAAUCCCAAAACUCAAGAUUACCUUAUUUGGAGAAAUAUUAGUGUUACUAUGUUUAAAAUUUAAUAGAUAGAACCAUAUUUUAUCUUUCACUUUGGGACUCGCACAGGAUGUUUGCAGCUCUUGAUAUACAGGAACUAGAACGUGUCUUUUAAGAGCAUGCGGUUUUAUAAUUAUGUGGAAGUAUGCUACGCAAGGGAAAAAAGGCUCUUGCUAGUGUAAAGGGUCUUUAUAAACACAAACCGCAAGGAACCUGGGAUCUGACAGCUGUUGGAGGAAUGCCUGUGAGGAAGGAGGAGGAACAGAAGAGUGGAGAAGGAGCAGUUUUUCCAUUUCCCUGAAAAGAAUUGAGUGAAGUUGACAGCAGGAUUGCAGAAGUGGGAGGACCCAAGGUGAGAGAAGCAUGGUUGGGAAUUUCUGCUAUCUGUUUGUCAUUAGGGUUUGUUUUUCUUUCCCUCUAAGACUUAAAUGUCUUUUAAUUAUAGGUCAGCUGAUUCUGUAACUGAAGAAUUGAGUAGCAGAUUAAAUACAGCCUGCUGUUACUGUAAUAAGGAAUGAUUAGGAUCUAGAACAGUUUUCUCUCUUGCAUGGAAAAAAAAGCACCAAUUAGUAUUAAUGAAUCACUGCUUGUAUAAGGCAGCCAGGUUUCUAGUUUCCCCAAAAUAUGAGAAUGACCUAAUUUUGCCCAAGAAAUUUUGUUUUAUUAUUAUUAUUACUGUAGUUGCACUGUUUUUAAAUGAAAUCUUUUUAUAAAGGACUAUCUAAAGUUUUUAGAUAAAAUGUUUAGAAAUAAUGAUUAAGAGUAUAUUUAAAUUUCUUACAUUAAAUAUCAAUGUACUGAGGCUGAAAACAAGAGCUUAUUUUUGGUUACGUAUCUGAAUUAAACCUGUGUACUCUUAUUUUGGUAGCUUAGCCAAGGAUUGAUUUUAUUGUCUUAAUGGAAGGAGAAAGGAGGAUACAGUUUGUCAGGGACUGUUGAAAUAGUCAUGCUGUUCAUUUGUGGUGUGUGAUAUAAAUGUAAACCUUUUGGAAGGUAAUUUGGCAUAUUUGUCCAAAAGCCUGAAAAACGUUUGUACUGUUUGAUAAUAUACAAGCAUUUCUAGGAAUAUAUAACUAAGAAAUAAUUACAGGCACAGGAAAGAUUCAUAGUUACAAUGCGUAAAGUUGGAAACAGCCCAAAAUGAUCAACUAGGGAUUCCUGUUACAGAGGAAGAAACUUUCUUCUGUCUUGUUCAGGACAGUAUCCCAAGUGUCAAAAACAGUGGCUGACUGGCCUGAACACAUGCAUGGAGGGUGCCAGCCCCACGCCUGCCAGUGCUCUGCCCCUGUGCCACCACCACUACUGGUGCAAACACACCCAUGGAUGCCAGAAGCCCCACACCCCUCUCCCAUGUCACUCUGUCACCACCACCACUGCAAACACCCUGAUGGAGGCCAGCACCCAUGUGCCUGCCAGUGCCACACCUCAGUCAACAAGGGUGCACCCUGCCAUGCUGCUGCUGUUGGUGGUACUUGCAAAUGAUCACAGAUCCCACUACCAUCACUCAAUGAAGCACUUUGGCUGGCACCACCCAUCAGAAUGUUGUGACCAGUGGUCUGGGAACACCUCAGCCUCUACAGUACAGUAGAUCCCUAACCUCAAGGGGACAGAGAACAAAGCCAGGGGCCCAAUACCAGCUCCCCAGAGUUAGAGGAUGCAGCCCAGGAAUCCUGAGCUGGGACUUGGCCCCCUAAACCAUUCCAGAAACAAAUCCGGUCAACCAAUUUACCUUAUACCACAGUCAAACCCCCAAGGACAUAAAAGAGGUUAAAAGAAAAAAAAAACCUAUCCAAAGGACAACAACUUCAAAAAAUAAAAGAACAUCAGCCCACAAAGAUGAGAAAGAACCAGCACAAGAACUCUGGCAACUCAAAAUGCCAGAGUGUCUUCUUACCUUUAACAACUACACUAGUUUCUCAGCAAUGGUUCUUUACCAGGCUAAAGGGGCUGAAAGGACUGAAAUAGAAUUCGAAAUAUGAAUAGGAAUGAAGAUCAUUGAGAUUCAGGAGAAAGUUGAAACCCAAUCCAAGGAUUCUAGGGAAUAAAAAUAAAAUGAUACAGGACAUGAAAGACAAAAUUAUCAUUUUAAGAAAGAACCAACCUGAUCUGAUAGAGCUGAAAAACUUACUCCAAGGAUUUCAGAAUACAAUCAAAGAAUUAAUAGCAGAAUUGACCAAGCUGAGGAAAGAAUCUGAGAGAACAAACACUGGAUCUCAAAAAUAACUCACUCAGGCAAAAAUAAAGAAAAAACAGUAAAGAAAAAGGAAAAAAAUCUCUGAGAAACAUGAGAUUAUGUAAAGAGACCAAAUCUAUGACUCAUUAGUGUCCCUGAAAGAGAGGGAGAGAAAGCAAGCAACUUGGAAAACAUAUUU